CCUGUCCCAAAGGCAUUGCAAGUGUGACUGCUGUGUCACAUGUGUGGCAGUAGGUGGCAGAGAGAGGCUAUGUCUACUUUCAGUGUUCCAACCUAAGAACAUCAUAAUGAUUAGUACCCUAACAUU